GAUGAACGCUGGCGGCGUGCCUAAUACAUGCAAGUCGAGCGAACGGACGAGAAGCUUGCUUCUCUGAUGUUAGCGGCGGACGGGUGAGUAACACGUGGAUAACCUACCUAUAAGACUGGGAUAACUUCGGGAAACCGUAGCUAAUACCGGAUAAUAUUUUGAACCGCAUGGUUCAUAAGUGAAAGACGUUCUUGCUGUCACUUAUAGAUGGUUCCACGCUGCAUUAGCUAGUUGGUAAGGUAACGGCCUACCAAAGCGACGAUGCGUAGCCGACCUGAGAGGCUGACCAGGCACAAUGGAACUGAGACACGGUCCAGACUCCUACGGGAGGGAGCAGUGGGGAAUAUUGGACAAUGGGCGAAAGCCUGAUCCAGCCAUGCCGCGUGUGUGAAGAAGGUCUUCGGAUUGUAAAGCACUUUUAGUUGGGAGAAAGGGCAGUAAGUAAAUACCUUGCUGUUUUGACGUUACCAAAAGAAAAAGCACCGGCUAACUUCGUG
rnacentral:rRNA from 1 species